AUGGCUUUCAAAAAUAAAGCUGAACUGAUGUGACUUGAAAAUGCUCCACACAUUCCAGUCCAAAGAGAAAGGCACAGACCAAACACUGGAACACUUGCGGAAGAAAUACAACACAGUGUUCAGUGAUCAGAUGGGAACAGUAAAAGGCUUCACAGCAAAACUUGUACUGAGAGAUGAUGCAACCCACAAAUUCUGCAAAGCCAGAUCUGUUCCAUACUCCCUGAGACCAAAGGUGGACGCGGAAAUCGAUCGCUUGCAGGAUACAGGGAUCCUGACGAAAGUGGACAGAAGCGAAUGGGCCAACACCCAUAGUUCCUAUUAUGAAGAAAGACGGGUCUGUUAGAAUGUGUGGGGACUUCAAGGUAACUGUGAAUUCAAUGUUGCAUGUGGACCAAUACCCCCUGCCAUGUCUGGAUGACAUCUUUGCUGCACUAGCUGGUGGGAAACACUUCAGUAAAAUCGAUCUGAAACGGGCUUUACCUACAGCUACCGGUUGAAGAGAGCUCCAAACAGUACCUGACAAUGUGAGUGUGAGUUCUUCAAAAACCAGAUUGUCUUCUGUGGACAUGAAAUCGACCGCAAUGGAUUGCACAAAACACAGGACAAAAUCGAGGCAGUGGUACAGGCAGCACGACCACAAAAUAUCACAGAAGUGAGAUCUUUUACGGGACUGAUCAAUUACUACAGAAGAUUCCUCCCACACCUUUCAGCAGUACUCCAGCCUCUAAAUCAGCUCCUGGAAAAGAAUAGGACAUGGCCGUGUACAGAACAGUGUGAAAAUGCAUUUCUUGAGGCAAAACGGCUCAUCACAUCUGAACAGGUCCUGAUGCAUUACGACCCUGAACUGCCAGUGAAGUUGGCUUGUGAUGCGUCCCCUUAUGGCUUAGGGGCCGUCCGAAGACGAAGUUACAGAGAGCCUUGCAUCACGCACUCCUGCCAUCCAUCACGCACACCUGCCUUCCCUCGUCACGCGCAUCAGCGAUAUUGGACUCACCUGGACUCACUCAUCACCUGUUUAUUUCCUCCCCUAUAUUAGUCAGUUCCCUGCUGUGUUCCCCACUGCUGCAUUGAUUGUGUUUUUGUCUUUGUUUUCUGUUUGCUAACGCUGUUCCUAUCUUGUUCAAUGUCCGUUGUUU
ensembl:lncRNA